GAUGAACGCUGGCGGCGUGCCUAAUACAUGCAAGUCGAGCGAACAGACGAGGAGCUUGCUCCUCUGACGUUAGCGGCGGACGGGUGAGUAACACGUGGAUAACCUACCUAUAAGACUGGGAUAACUUCGGGAAACCGGAGCUAAUACCGGAUAAUAUAUUGAACCGCAUGGUUCAAUAGUGAAAGACGGUUUUGCUGUCACUUAUAGAUGGAUCCGCGCCGCAUUAGCUAGUUGGUAAGGUAACGGCUUACCAAGGCAAUGAUGCGUAGCCGACCUGAGAGGGUGAUCGGCCACACUGGAACUGAGACACGGUCCAGACUCCUACGGGAGGCAGCAGUAGGGAAUCUUCCGCAAUGGGCGAAAGCCUGACGGAGCAACGCCGCGUGAGUGAUGAAGGUCUUUGGAUCGUAAAACUCUGUUAUUAGGGAAGAACAAAUGUGUAAGUAACUAUGCACGUCUUGACGGUACCUAAUCAGAAAGCCACGGCUAACUACGUG
rnacentral:rRNA from 1 species